CUGGCUGUGGGGGUGGAGCUUAGACAGAAUACCAACAGCAAAGAAGCAAAGAAUUGUCUUUGUUAGAGACAAUUUCCUUUUCAAAGAUGGCGCCAUUAGGACAUUAAAACACAGUGCAGGUACCUCUGCCCAGAAGUUUCUCCAGGAAGCAUCCCUGACCCCAACUGGUGCUCUCAGCAUGUCACAAGGGAGCUUGCUGUCCUCUGCCUUUCAAUUGGGAUUAAUUCUGCUCCAGCACAGACCAAUGAGAUGACAGGACUGAAGUCGGAUAAAAGGCACGCUGCUACAAGCCAACGGCGGUGAGCGGACAGCCGCUGUUUGAUUCGACUCCAGCGGCUUCCAUUCGCACAGCAGGAAGGCGUGCUGAUUCUAAUCUUGUUUACAGGUAGGUCUGAAAACCCGAAACUGAUCCCCUGGGCCAGCCAAGGUCAUCUUGGAAUUACUGGGAGAGGAGCUUCUGGUGCUGGGAGUCACUUUCCAUUUUAACAGCUGAGAACCACUCUUCCUGGAUGCCCGCGGACCUGAUGCUCCCCAGCCUUGCCUCUCACAGAGGUGACAUUUCUAAGAACCACUGUAUCAAACUUCCUCCUAACCCCAUAGAACUUCUAUCUCUGAAAACCCACCAGCAUCUAUCAGCUAUAGAACGCUACCUCUAUAAGGAAAUAUUGCUGCUGUUAUUGACAGCGUCAUCACCAUCGUCAUCACCACCAUCAUCAUCAUCAUCCAGCGUGUUUUUUGAGAAAGGGUUUGUCUGUGUAGCUCUGGCUGUCUGUAGACCAGGCUGGCCUCAAACUCAGAGAUCCAGCUGCCUCUGCCUCCCAAGUGCUCAGACUAAAGGUGUGUGUGCACCACCAUGUCCAGCAUAAUGAAAUGUUAGGAAGCAGAGUAGUGCUGAAUUAAAAGUUAACCUCUAUGGUAACUUAAAUAUUUAUUACAUCAGUAGUUCUCAACCUGCAUGUAUGACUGGGGGUCAAAUGACCCUUUCACAGGGGUCGCUCAAGACCAUCAGAAAACACAGAUAAUUGUUUACAUUAUGAUUCAUAACAGUGGCAAAAUUACCUAUAUGAAGUACCAAUAUUUGUUAGGGGGUCACCACAAUGUGAGGAACUGUAUUAAAGGGUCACAGAAUUAGGAAAGUUAAGAACCACUGGAAAUAAAUCACAAUAUAUCUAUAUAAUAAUAAUGAGACAUUAAAAAUUCCAUCUCCAAACAACUGUUUAAUGGCAUGGUGAAAUGCACCUACUAUGUUGGGGGGUGGGGGGAGCAAACCAAAACCUAAAACUAAUAUUUGUUUUGUAUGACCUAAUUUGUCAAAAAAUAUUAUUUGUGUUAAAAACCACAAAGUAUAUAUCAGAUAAAGAUUACAAAAUAGAUUUAAAUAUUAAUAUUAGGAGAUGGAAUAGGAAUUUUAAAGUUUUCUCGAAUCUGGGCUCUUGAAGUUUGGUCUGUUAUGUAUUAUAAUGCUAAAUUCUAUAUCCGGAGGUCUGGUUGCCUCAAGCCUAGCUGUGAAUUCUCACAUAUGCCUUGCUCCUUAGUUUAAAACUAUUGGUUGAAUACAGAUGCCUACAGCCUAUAGCUGGGCAGAAAGCAGCUGGGCAGGGCCUCCGUUCCUGGGCUUGGAGUCUGACGCAGAAAUCACACCAGGAGAGAAAAGGAACUCUGGGAAAAAGAAAGGGGAAGAAGAAAGGACAUCUCCUAGCAAAAGACAGGAGACAGGAGACAGGCAUUACUAUGGGCCUGGAAGGUAUAGCUAGCCAUGUGGCUGGAUGGGGCUAGGUGGCCGGGUUAACUUAGCUGGUUGAGGGUCUGAUCAGCUAACUAAGCUUUAAAAUACUAAGAGGUCUCUGUGUGGUUAUUGGGAACUAGCAGGAACAAUUAACUGCUAGUUAACAAUUACUGCUAUAAUUUUCAGGAUUAAUUAAUAUCUACAGAACAUUAAUGACCAUUAAUUUACACUGGAUUUUUAAAAUUUUUCAAGGGCCAGAGAUAAGGCCGAGGACCCAAAGUCUGUCCCAGUGCACGUGACAGACACACACACACACACACACACACACACACACACACACUGGGAAGCUUAUGACUCCCUGUGACUCAAACUCUAAGGGAUUUAAUUCCUUCUGCUUUCCACAGGGCAUGUGUGCACACAGGGACACAGGGACACACACACACACACACACACACACACACACACACACAAAUCUCAAAUGUUCACUUAGUACUUUUAUAAUGAGAAAGUGAAUAAUUAAAUAUUUUUCCUAACCAUAUAGGUUGCACUGUCACUCAGGGAGAUCACACAAUCAAGUACACACAGGGCUACUGUCAUUUGCGAUGACUGUGGCAGCCUGAAGUAACCAUCGGUCAGCAAUCUCAUUACAGGAAACUGGGGAGGCAUCUCGGACCGUAGAGUGUUUGCCUAGCAUUCGGGGAGCUCUGAAUCCAAUGCCAGCAUCGAAAAAACUGAGCACCUGACAGUGUACGAGCCACGUGCCUGUAAUCCUACUUUAGGGAGAUGGGGGUGGGGGAAGUGAAGGAGUGGGUCAAAAGUUCAAGGUUAUCCUCCUGCCUGGGCUAAGUAACAUGAAAAUACUUAGCAUCUUCCCCAAAGCGCACUUUAGUGGAAAAGGAGCUGACCUUGCAUUCUAGGGUAGACCGACCAUCUCCCCCAAUCCCCCCCAGUGUGUGUAGUUCAGAGCGCUUAUCCAUCUCACUGCCCUGUGUUGCUUCCCAGCUGUGGGAGCAGGGUGUUUCCCCGCUUGCUCGCCUAAGCCUUAAAAGCUAUGAAAAUGGAAUGAAUCAAGUGAAUCGCACAUUUCCACCAUCGUGUAUUCAUUAAAGGCACAGUCUUUGGGCCGCUAGGCAAAGAAAAAGUUCUCUGCACUUACACCAGCUCAGGGAACUUCUAGGAAGGUGGAUGCAAUAAGAAAUAAGUCUUCUAGUCGUGUGCGUGUACGUAUGUCCGUGGGUGUGUGAAUGUGAUUGCCGCUGCAUUCAAAUGUGGAGUCUAGAAGACCGCUGUUGGCAUCUCCCUCCAUCACUGUCCACCUCAUUUCUUGAAGCAGAAUUCUGUACUGUGUUUGGAGCCCAAAAUUCCUGCUAGCUGGGAUGGUAAGCAAGUCCUGACUUUACCAACUGAGGAAUCUCCUCACCCCUAAACCACACUCUUUCUUGACUUUGUAGUGAUGUGUUUUUAUUCAUCUGUGUGUGAAUUUGUUGGGUGUGUGUGUGUGUAAGGUGGGUGUGUGUGUAAGGUGGGUGUGCAUGCACACAUGUGUGCACAUGUUUGUGGAAACCAGAGGACGAUGUCAGGUGUCAUCCUCAAGGACAUGUCCUUGGCAUUUCCUUUGAGUCAGGGUUUCUCCGUGGCCUGGGCUUCACCAAUUAGACAAGGCUGGCUGUCCAGUGAGGCCCAGGGAUCCUGUCUCGGCCUCUGCAGCUGGGUAUGCACACUUGUCACCACACCUGGCACUUUUACCUUAGUGCUGAGAUUAUCUUGGUUCUCGUGGUUAUUUGUGAGGUGAGCUCUUUACCCAUUAAGCGGACUCUCACACUUAAUUGUUACACUGCCAAAAUCAUCAUAAGUAUUGUUAUAGUUAUGAAAUGUGUACAUAUAACAUGGGGAGUACAGAAAUGGACUACUAAACAAAGAACCCACUGGAAGAGUUUAUCAACAAUGUCACUAAAAUUGGCUCCUACUUCCUCUGGGCUCCCUAAGAACUGGCAACUUCUAGAGUAACACCUGUAACUGGAUCUGGAGAAACAAUGUGUCACAGUGUAGAAUAGGCCGCCUUGGACCACCCGGUUAGAACAAAGGAUUGAUCGGUAGCCUCGAGUAAAGAGAGAAGGCACCUAUCACCAUACCCUCUCAGGGAUGUGAGCUGAGAUACCAGAAGAAAAAAAGCCACAUGGGGCCGGGGAAAGGGCAACAUGAAAAAACAGAACGCAGGGAGCCAGGUAACAGACGCAGAUGCUGAAGAGAGAGGAAGCCAGCCCCGAAGGGCAUCGUGUGACAUCCCGGAGAACCAAAGAGCUAGAGUAGAAAGCCACUUCCGCCCAUCUGUCUCCCAUGGUCGUUUUGGUGUUCCAGAUCUGGCUCUGGGUCCAGGUAUCCUAGCAACCAAGCCCAAGUAAUUGGAUUCAAAAUAACUUGAAUGAGUCCCCGUUUAGUGUUACUCAGAGCCCAAAUAAACCCCGGGCUGUCCCUGUGGCUCCAUGGGCCUUUUGGAGUGUGCGCCACCUUUUACACUACAAUGAGCCAAGUUCCUCAAGGUGCCCAGCAUCAACCACAAUUUAAUAAUACGCUUUCCUGCUUCGCAUCCAAACAUCCUAAAAGAUGAAAAGUACAGCUGCAGAAUAGACCAGCCAUGCUAGCUACACGGGGGAGACAGAGCAGCAGUUUGCAUUGGUGGUGGGACAUCUCGUUUGACCUCAGCACACUGCACUCUCUCCUAGGCAGACUUCUGGCUCUGGGUAGUGUCAAGUGAAGGGAUGCUUCUCCGAGAAAAGAAAACGUGAGCACAAUCUCCAUCAAAGGCCUACACUGAGUUUCAACACAGAAAAUGGACUGGAAGACCAGGGCACCAACAAAUGGCGUGAACGGAAGGAGGUUGUGAGCUGGGGUCUGUAACCAGCACCCACCCUUCUCUUCUCAAGGGCGUCUAGGGUAACAUCAGUAUCUUUCAGUAUCUGAAAGUGACCGGUACGCGUAGUGGGGUUCCUUAGAGAACACACUGGACGCCAGUGGGAUUUCCUAAGACGUCCAGGCUUGCAUAGAAACACCACGUGAGCUAUUCCUCUGAAAUAGGCCCAUGUUUGCAGAACUCGGGGUCACUGUGUGGGAAAGCAGUGUGCUGGGCUGGAGAAGCGUUUCUUUUCAAAACUCACUUCUGAGAAAGUGGUGUCUGCCUGUGCUGCUGGCUGUCAACCUGUCCCACGGACAUGCUGCGAUCUGAUCUUACAGCAACGGUUGUGACAGCAGCAAUUGUCCCAUCCCUUACGUCUUCAGUGAGGAAACGGUGAGCAAAGAUGAAGGGAGAGGGAUUAUUUCUUGUGUUACUGUUUUAUGUAUGAAUGAGGAAUUUUAAAGUUAUGAAAACCGCGUUUGGUUGUUUUCAAACCUCACAUUACAUCUACAACACUAAUAUUAUUCAUCUUAUGGAGGAAACUGCACAAAAAUACACACAUGGAGUCUAGAAUUCCCCAAGGACACCAAAGCUGCCUGGACUCCUGGCACAGUGUUAUGAUAUCUCCUGUGAAGUUCCUCCCACGUGGUGCUUCAAGACAUCGCGUUUCCGUCAGCCAAUGAGGUGCAAUGCCGCAUAAGGAGCUCUACAGUAGCCUUGUAGGCAGUGACUCUGAGAGGAAACAUGUGACCUGUUUGUUAUAAAAAUUACCUUUUCCUCAACACUUUCCAACAACCACCUAUGGUUGGUUGGAGCCCACAGAUGACGAGGGACAUUGGUACUACUUUGCUCAUUUAAAGAAUUUCCCCACAAACCAGGUCUGGAGGAGGAGGGACUUAACACUUGGUCUCAGUCUACUUUUGGAUUUAAUGAAAUACAGUGACAGUGGGAGGGAGAGUCACAUAAAAAUAAAUAUCGUGGGACGUUCUUAAAAGGUAAUUGUACGCAUGGAUGCCUUCCCGCUAGUGUUUCCCAACCAAUGUCCUCACUGAAUACACAAGGGAGUUUCUGCUCUUCCUGGGGUGGUUGGGGCACCCUGAAAACCGGUUACAAUGCUGCUGCCGAGGGUCAGCCAAAGUUCCCUGAUGCAGAAGCAACUCUCUGCCGUUUGGAUUGACAGAGAAGAGGGAAAAAAAAGAAGAACUCAGAUUCCUUUUCUGUGGUCUUGCUCUGUUCUCGUGAGAGAUCUUCCCAUGUAGCCCGAGGUGACCUUGGACUCUCAGGCUCCAGCCUCUACCUUCUCAGUACCAGGGUCACAGGCCUGUGCCACCACACAUUGCUUUGGUUUUGUUUCUAGUUCAAGGCGCUUCUUCAAACUGUGGGGGCCUGCUUACUACACAAACGACUACGGAACUCAGUGAUUUACCAUCCCUGUCCUUUUAUAUGUGACGUGGCUCUAAUUUGCCUUGGGCACAAUAUUUCACUUAAGUCUAGCACAGUAGUUCCCAACCUUCCUAAUGCCGGUGACCCUUUAAUACAGUUCCUCAUGUCCUGUAGACCCUCAACCAAUUAUUUCAUGGCUACUUCAUAACUAACUUCAUAACUACUGUUAUGAGUUGUAGUGUAAAUCUCAGUGUUUUCCCGUGGUCUUAGGUAAUCCCUGUGAGGGUUGUGAACGCUAGUCUGGUAUGUAGUGGUCACAUUAAUCGUUCACCUCAUCUGAGCAUGGUCAAGGGCAGCACUAGGCACCACACCCCAGCUCCUGCUCAUUCCCAAACUGGCCCUGGGCUUGGCGAGGGACCAAGCCUCUGGAAUCUUGGGGAGAGAUUGGGAAGUCGGGUUCUUCCCAGUCAUGGUGGCCUGAAGAUGUGACUGGGAGAGGGGUGUGCUCUGUCCUUUUGGGGAUUUCCCUGGCUGCAGCAAAAUAUGGCUAUGACUGGCCAGACAGGAAAGCCAUUGUACUCUGUGCCCAACCCCUUCAUUCUCUAAGUCCGUUUGCCACAGCUGCUCAGUGCUGCUCUGAGAAACACCGACAAGGACCCCUCAACCUCUGUGGCAGGUUACUUUGGAGCGUGCUGAAACCCUUUCCCUUCCUAGGUGUGUUAUAAUGCAAAGCAGGUGUCAGGGCUCUGUGGUGGCCUCGACAGUGCACAUGAAAGCCAUUUAGUCACUACUAGGUUAGAUGCUAUUUCUAUACCUUUAACUUCAGUGUGUAUAUGGCAAAUCAGAAUUGAGAGCUUAUUAUUUCCCAAUGUUAGCCUGUAUAUAUGUUUGGCUUGCAUAUGUUUACAAACGAUAUGGCUUUUUUUUUUCAUUAGCAUGGGCAUAGAAAAGACAUCUUCCCUAUCUUUGCCUUCGUAAGGGCAGACAGUUCCACUUGUAAAGGUGUUCAUCUCUCUGAUGUCUUUGCUCACCCCUUUGAAUGAGCCCCAAGAACACUGGGUCAGAGUCCCAUAUAUGGUCUACACCAGAGCCUCCAUCCUCCUUGGCACCUUUCAGGGUAGUUCAUAAUGUAUGUGCCAACAAACAUGAUUGAACUCUUUCUCAAAGAGCAAGCCAAAUAAUUAGAAAAUUAUUCCCCCUAUAAAAAUUGAAAUAAUUUUUAAGACAAUCACUAGGGAAAUUUCCAAAAUAACUAACCUGUUUAUCUUAAAUUUGGGGGAGGACUCAGCAACCCAAAGAUGUUAACUUGCAAGUUGUACUGGUCUAUCCUGUCGAAACUCAUAUACACUGUGACUGUGAAGAACCCACGGAGGGCGAAGCAACAGAGGAGCAGCACUAGGUGAACUGCCAGGCUGUUGGACAGGUCUGGUUACUGGCGGCCAGCCCUCGGGACCCUAAGGAGUAGUGCUUCCGACCCUUAUCAAAAACGUCACAGAACUUUAGCCUACAAGACACCGGAAUGCUUUUGCCUGCUACAAUUGCUAAGCCUGGAGCCAUCUGAGCAGCCUUUUAUCAUUGGUCUACACUGAGGCCUGAAGCCUCAUGUGUGUGGAUGGAGACUCUGGAGCUCAAAGACAUGUUUGUAUUGGAAGCUAUGUCGUCCCUGAAGAGUAAGACACUAAGGUCUCUCAGCCUACUGUAAGACUUUGGAGAAAUCAGGACACCUUUCCCAAUUAGGACGCUUCCUGUUCGCUUCUGCUCCUCCAGUCCUAAAUAAAGCCUGUUCUGUUCUC